UCGUUUGCUUUGGUGCUGCUUUUAUUUAGCUGCCUCUUGGCUGUAGCUUUUGCUGAGCCUCGCUUGAGCCUCGACUGCGAGGACUGUACCCGAUACCCUUUUGCUGUCCGUGAUUCAGGUGCUGCUGUUCAGACAAUGACAACUGGCGCUGCAGCUUUUGGUCUUCUAUACUAUUCUAUUGGCGCUUUGCUACGCAAUAUGCCGCACUAAGUGUGUAUAAAGAAAUUAAUAAAUAAAUAAAGUGUAAUAAGCACAAAUCAAAAUCGAAUUUAUUCGAAUUGAAUGCAUUUA